UUCAAUCUUGAAACCAAAAUUACCAUGUUGAAGAUUUAUUAAAUGAUAUUCGUUUGUAGAAACUAAAAUUAACUUCUAAAUAUGAUUUUAAUCGAAAGCUUUUAACACAUCAAGAAAUAAAGCGGAUCAAAUUAUUUUUAAAGUAAAACAUAACAAGUUGAAGAAGCUAUUACUAAAAUUACGGAACAUUUUCAUUAUAUUAUUCAUUCUAAUUAAUUAAUUGUAUUAAUAGUACUACUUACUCUUAAUAAUUAUUUUUAUUAGAUAUUAUUAUUUCCAAAGCACAUUUCAAACAGAUAUUUAGUAAGACGUUUUUAUUUGGUAUAUUAAAAUGUGGGAAGGUCAAAAGAUUUUUAGAAAGAAUAAUAACGAAUCUGAGUCACAAUCGUGCAGAGAAUUGACAAAAUGUUUUGAAUGAAGUAACUCGUUAAUUGGUAAUAUUCUAUCAUUGAAUUGGCCGAUCAUUGAAAUUAUUUCAUUUAAGAAUGAAAGAUGAUGACGUCGAUCCAGAAAUGUAUCAUUAUGCACUAGAUUAUUACUAUACUAAGGAAAUGAACGCAACAAAGGAAUAUUCCAUUGUGCAAUAGAUUGGAUUGGCUUUCAAUUGGUUAUUACUAGACCCUCAACGAGAAUGUUGCCACGAUAUGAUCAUGCUUCAACAUCGUUCCAUCCUCCAUGAUUACUGGAUUUUUAUUGGAUAAGAACGGUUGUUAUUUGUAUAAAAAUAGGAAAGAAAAAUAUCUUAGGAUUCAAGAAUAUCAUUCGAUAAUAUGUAUUCGUCAGUUAGUCGAUAGUUUCUCGUCCGAAAGAUUCAUUAUGCACGUAAAGAUUGAGAAAAGCAAGAGAUCAUCUGAAGGGAUAUUGAAAAACAUAGCUGCAGUAAAUAUGUAUAGAUCAAAGAGAAGAAAUUUAUCUAUCGAAUCUGCUAGUCUAAUAACAAUCGUAGAGGAGGAGAAAAGCAGUUUAUUACAAAUAAUGCUUAAGAAGAAUUGUCACUGAAAAUUUUGUGGAAACUAAUGAACGAUCGUUGAUGAAAGAAGAAUAAGAUGCGGACCACGUUCUUGUAUCAAUCUUGCUAUAGCAAUCUAUCCUCACACGUACGUUUAUCUAUUCAAUGGACCAAUUUAGCGAUAGAUGCUUUG